UACGAAGGGGGCUAGCGUUGCUCGGAAUCACUGGGCGUAAAGCGCACGUAGGCGGGUUCUUAAGUCAGGGGUGAAAUCCUGGAGCUCAACUCCAGAACUGCCUUUGAUACUGGGAAUCUCGAGUCCGGGAGAGGUGAGUGGAACUGCGAGUGUAGAGGUGAAAUUCGUAGAUAUUCGCAAGAACACCAGUGGCGAAGGCGGCUCACUGGCCCGGUACUGACGCUGAGGCGCGAAAGCGUGGGGAGCAAACAGG
rnacentral:rRNA from 1 species